rnacentral:rRNA from 1 species
UAGUUGGUGGAGUGAUUUGUCUGGUUAAUUCCGUUAACGAACGAGACCUCGACCUGCUAAAUAGUUCGGCGAAUUCUUCGGGAUUCGUACGCGACUUCUUAGAGGGACUAUCGGUGUGUAGCCGAUGGAAGUUCGAGGCAAUAACAGGU